CAAAAACAUCGCCUUUUGAACACUAUAAAAGGUAACGCCUGCCCAGUGACAACUUGUUUAACGGCCGCGGUAUUCUGACCGUGCGAAGGUAGCGUAAUCACUUGUCUUUUAAAUAGAGACUAGUAUGAAUGGCAUCACGAGGACUUGACUGUCUCCCCUCUCCAAUCAGUGAAACUGAUCUUCCCGUACAAAAGCGGGAAUAAACUCAUAAGACGAGAAGACCCUAUGGAGCUUAAAACCAAAAACCUUCUGUUUAACCUACUUUAUUAUAUUAGUACUAAAAUAACAGGCCUAGUUUAGGUUUUCAGUUGGGGCGACUAUGGAGAAAAAUUAAUCCUCCAUGUAGACUUAAGCUUUGAGCAACCACUCUGUGCAUUAGCAAGCCUAACUUUACUUGACCCAAUACCUUGAUCAACGGACCAAGUUACCCUAGGGAUAACAGCGCAAUCCAUUUCAAGAGUCCAUAUCGACAAAUGGGUUUACGACCUCGAUGUUGGAUUAGGACAUCCUAGUGGUGCAGCCGCUACUAAGGGUUCGUUUGUUCAACGAUUAAAGUCCUACGUGA
rnacentral:rRNA from 1 species